rnacentral:lncRNA from 1 species
UCAAAGACUUAUUUUAUACUUAACUUUUCUAGCUUAGAGAGAUUGUGUCAAACACAAAUUUUACAGAUAACUAAAUCACUUGAUUAACAUAGAUUUAUGUUUACUUUAAAAAGUAAUUAGAUCAUAGUUUUAGUGCCUGACUAACCGAUGCAUGUGUAGAUUAGAUACUUAGUUUAAAAUCGCUUAACAAAACAUUUAAUAAGUUAUUAAGUAUUAGCUCUACUUAGGUUAGAGCAGAUGAUAAUGAUAUGCAAUGUAAAAAUAGAAAAGGAGAGAAAAACUACACACAAUAAUUUAUAUUGGUUCAUCUAUUACAAUAGAUUACAUCCAACUCUUAACUAACUCUAUCAAGUUCAACUAAGCAUACUAAUGUUACGAAGUAAGCGUUGGGUAUUAUGUGGGUUCACAGUCAUUCCUAGUUAAACCCUUGAAUAUUCUUUCCUAUAACCUCACCUAGCUGACACUAAGUAUUAUUGACACCAGGCACUCCUGACUAAACAUUGAGUAUUCUUUGCUGAAGUCAUUCUUGACUAAUACUAAGAUUUCUUAACACCAACCACUCUUGACUCAACACUAAUUAUUAUUUGUUCAAGCCACUCUUCACUAAUACUUUGAGUAUUAUUUUAUACUUUUUAGUCACUCAUUGCUAACAUAGGAAAGGUCGAAGAUUUGAAUGAUCGUCCAAUCAUUUUGUCUAACUAAGGGAGAGUGUUUGCGUCUUAAGAUGAAUAUAAGAUUUUGGUUACCUCUCAUAGUUUAGAUCAUUUCUCACUCUGUGGGGGUUACAUCUUUUGACAAAUACAAGAUGAAAAUUCACUCUCCUAAGAGACCAAAGAGACUUAUCUUGUGUUCUCUUCUUCUUUACGUAAUCUCUUGAAUGACUGAUAGUAUAUGCUUCCCUCAGUUAUAAAGGCUUUUGUACCAUCGUAUGGUAAAAGUGCAUAUCAUACAUGACAAGUAAGCCAAAUUUCAAAUGUAGUUUGUCACGAGAGUUGUUGGUCCUUGCAACUUUAGCUCAUAUCCCAAGAAAUACUGAAAUGUUGUCUUGACGCAAAUCUUUUUUAGGAUAGAUGUAGAAGGUAGUCUCUAAAAUAGAUUCAAGCUUUAGGAAUAUUCUUUGAUUUUGUGUUUGACUUUAAGUCUUCAUUGAGCGCAUCAUCAAAUGCUCUCUCACUUCUUUAUCAGACAUUUUGGUUGAUCUUUGUAACACUCAUUUCGUCUGACACUCAUCAAUGCUUAUCAGAGGAAGUAAAAGGUUUGUUCAAUGAUUUUUUGUUUGUUAUUCAUUCUGCUACAAACCUUGUUGUUGAUCAACAAUUUCCUAUCAUUUGAUAGAAAAGACACUAGUAUGUGUUGAAGAUAGAUGAAGACUCUUCUCAACUUGGAUAAAGAAAGUGUUUGAUGAAGAAAAUCUUCUUAAAGGUUGAUGUACAUUGUAUUCAUGGUCCUGUUUUUGAACUCUUGUAUCUGCACUCUAGGUGUUUUCUUUCCUAUAAUUUCUCUUUGUAAAGGUGUUUAUAAUUGUACUUCUUGACAGGGUUUCUUGAAGUAAGUGUGUUGCUGAAAUAGGGUGUUUCAGCUUGUGUUCUUUGUUCUUGGAGGGUUCAAGAACCAAGUAGUGUUUCUAAAGAUUGCUUUGGCUUAGUGAAAUCCAUCUUGGUAAAAAGUGGGAGUGCAUGUAGCUCUUGAUGAGUGAACCAGUAUAAAACUAUGUGUGCUCUUCUCCUUCCUUGAUCUUUUCUUUAAAUCUAAAAUCUGUAAUAAAAUGAAUCUGUUGUUUGAAAAUUGAAUCUAUUGUUCUUUUUACUGUUACUGGGUUAAAUCAUAUACUGUUCUUCAAGAUUCUGAUAAGGCCUGUAUCUUGCUUAAAAUUCACUGUGUCUGUAAUUGUUGAUUGAGUAAUACAAGUGUUUAAAAUUCAAUUAAGCAAUCUUGUUCAGAAUUCUUUUGUCUUUGAAACUGCUUUCAAAAAGAUUUUAAAGGUUGUCUGUCAAAAUUAAUUUCUACACUGAGUAUCUCUUAACUGAAUUGUUCCUUUUAAAUCUGCUAGUAUUUGGAAUUAUUAAGCAAGAAAUUAAAUAUGUUAUUUCUAAAAUAAAUAUGUUGUAUUUUUUGAA